rnacentral:rRNA from 1 species
CAGGCUUAACACAUGCAAGUCGAGGGGCAGCAUGGUCUUAGCUUGCUAAGACUGAUGGCGACCGGCGCACGGGUGAGUAACACGUAUCCAACCUGCCGUCUACUCUUGGACAGCCUUCUGAAAGGAAGAUUAAUACAAGAUGGCAUCAUGAGUCCGCAUGUUCACAUGAUUAAAGGUAUUCCGGUGGACGAUGGGGAUGCGUUCCAUUAGAUAGUAGGCGGGGUAACGGCCCACCUAGUCUUCGAUGGAUAGGGGUUCUGAGAGGAAGGUCCCCCACAUUGGAACUGAGACACGGUCCAAACUCCUACGGGAGGCAGCAGUGAGGAAUAUUGGUCAAUGGGCGAGAGCCUGAACCAGCCAAGUAGCGUGAAGGAUGACUGCCCUAUGGGUUGUAAACUUCUUUUAUAAAGGAAUAAAGUCGGGUAUGGAUACCCGUUUGCAUGUACUUUAUGAAUAAGGAUCGGCUAACUCCGUGCCAGCAGCCGCGGUAAUACGGAGGAUCCGAGCGUUAUCCGGAUUUAUUGGGUUUAAAGGGAGCGUAGAUGGAUGUUUAAGUCAGUUGUGAAAGUUUGCGGCUCAACCGUAAAAUUGCAGUUGAUACUGGAUAUCUUGAGUGCAGUUGAGGCAGGCGGAAUUCGUGGUGUAGCGGUGAAAUGCUUAGAUAUCACGAAGAACUCCGAUUGCGAAGGCAGCCUGCUAAGCUGCAACUGACAUUGAGGCUCGAAAGUGUGGGUAUCAAACAGGAUUAGAUACCCUGGUAGUCCACACGGUAAACGAUGAAUACUCGCUGUUUGCGAUAUACUGCAAGCGGCCAAGCGAAAGCGUUAAGUAUUCCACCUGGGGAGUACGCCGGCAACGGUGAAACUCAAAGGAAUUGACGGGGGCCCGCACAAGCGGAGGAGCAUGUGGUUUAAUUCGAUGAUACGCGAGGAACCUUACCCGGGCUUAAAUUGCAGAUGAAUUACGGUGAAAGCCGUAAGCCGCAAGGCAUCUGUGAAGGUGCUGCAUGGUUGUCGUCAGCUCGUGCCGUGAGGUGUCGGCUUAAGUGCCAUAACGAGCGCAACCCUUGUUGUCAGUUACUAACAGGUUCCGCUGAGGACUCUGACAAGACUGCCAUCGUAAGAUGUGAGGAAGGUGGGGAUGACGUCAAAUCAGCACGGCCCUUACGUCCGGGGCUACACACGUGUUACAAUGGGGGGUACAGAGGGCCGCUACCACGCGAGUGGAUGCCAAUCCCCAAAACCCCUCUCAGUUCGGACUGGAGUCUGCAACCCGACUCCACGAAGCUGGAUUCGCUAGUAAUCGCGCAUCAGCCACGGCGCGGUGAAUACGUUCCCGGGCCUUGUACACACCGCCCGUCAAGCCAUGGGAGCCGGGGGUACCUGAAGUGCGUAACCGCGAGGAGCGCCCUAGGGUAAAACUGGUGACUGGGGCUAAGU